rnacentral:rRNA from 1 species
AUUGAACGCUGGCGGCAGGCCUAACACAUGCAGGUCGAACGGUAACAGGAAGCAGCUUGCUGCUUCGCUGACGAGUGGCGGACGGGUGAGUAAUGUCUGGGAAACUGCCUGAUGGAGGGGGAUAACUACUGGAAACGGUAGCUAAUACCGCAUAACGUCGCAAGACCAAAGAGGGGGACCUUCGGGCCUCUUGCCAUCGGAUGUGCCCAGAUGGGAUUAGCUAGUAGGUGGGGUAACGGCUCACCUAGGCGACGAUCCCUAGCUGGUCUGAGAGGAUGACCAGCCACACUAGAACUGAGACACGGUCCAGACUCCUACGGGAGGCAGCAGUGGGGAAUAUUGCACAAUGGGCGCAAGCCUGAUGCAGCCAUGCCGCGUGUAUGAAGAAGGCCUUCGGGUUGUAAAGUACUUUCAGCGGGGAGGAAGGCGAUAAGGUUAAUAACCUUGUCGAUUGACGUUACCCGCAGAAGAAGCACCGGCUAACUCCGUGCCAGCAGCCGCAGUAACAC